CCAAUUCUGCAGUCAGGCUCGCGCGGACUCACGAAACACGGUACAGACAUGCGCAUGCUUGCCAGCCGGAAACCAAGCCUCAAAAAGGUCCGAGAGCGCGCACGCGCGCGGCCUGGAACGAGCUUGGUGCCACGAUCCCCGGCGCUUGCGUAUCGGGAUACGACACCGGCGAAGCUUAGAGACAUUCGCUAUUCUGUAUUGGGAGAGCUUGCGCUCAGAGGAAAGGAGGGCGCGUGGCCACUGGCUAGGUCACUGACUUUGCUGGUCUUCCUUUAGAGCGAGAGCAGCCGCAGUUGUUCAUUCACCAUGCGCAACCUAAAGUUACUUCGGACCUUGGAGUUCAAGGAUAUACAGACUCUUGGAAAACCCCAGUGCUUUUCCCUUCGGACUGAUCAAGGGACACUGCUCAUUGGCUCAGGUUAUGGGCUUAUAGAAGUGGAUCCUGUUGCAAGAGAAGUAACCUGUGAGAUUCCCUUGAUAUCAGGGGGUUUUCUACCUGAAGAUGGCAGUGGCUGCAUCGUGGGUAUCCAGGACCUGCUGGAUCAGGAGUCUGUAUGUGUGGCCACAGCUUCGGGGGAUGUUAUACUCUGUAAUCUCAGCACCAGCCAGCUGGAAUGUGUUGGGAAUGUUGCCAGUGGUUUGUCUGUCAUGAGUUGGAGUCCAGACCAGGAGCUUGUUCUUCUUGUUACAGGCCAACAAACCUUAAUUUUGAUGACUAAAGACUUUGAACCAAUCAUGGAGAGGCAAAUCCAUCAAGAUGAUUUUGGAGAAAGCAAAUUUAUCACUGUUGGAUGGGGUAAAAAGGAGACACAGUUCCAUGGAUCAGAAGGCAAACAAGCUGCACAUCGUAAACAAAUGAAUGAACAGCCUGCUUUGCCCUGGGAUGAUCAUAGACCUCAAGUUACCUGGAGGGGAGAUGGCCAGUUUUUUGCUGUGAGUGCUGUUUGUCCAGAGACAGGGGCUCGGAAAAUCAGAGUAUGGAACAGAGAGCUUGUUUUACAAUCAACCAGUGAGCCUGUUGCAGGACUAGGACAAGCUCUGGCCUGGAAGCCUUCUGGUAGUUUGAUUGCAUCUACACAGAAUAAACCUAACCAACAUGAUGUUGUGUUUUUUGAAAAAAAUGGACUUCUUCAUGGAGAUUUUAUACUUCCUUUCCAGAAAGGUCAGGUAAAGGUAAAUGAGCUACUAUGGAAUUCAGAUUCCACAGUCCUUGCACUUUGGCUUGAAGACCUUAGCUAUGAAGAGAAUGCAGGACCAGCAUCCUAUGUUCAGCUAUGGACAGUUGGAAACUAUCACUGGUAUCUUAAACAGAAUCUGCACUUUAGUAAAAACAAAAGGAGCAAGAUUGUGUCCCUUACCUGGGACCCAGUGACUCCAUACAGAUUACAUGUCCUCUGUCAAGGAUGGCAUUACCUCUGCUAUGAUUGGUAUUGGAAUACUGACCGGAGCACAGGAGAAAAUGCAUGUGACCUAGCAAGUGUAGCAGUCAUUGAUGGAAACAAGGUAUUGGUGACAGCCUUUCAACAUUCUGUGGUGCCUCCUCCUCUCUGUACCUAUGAGUUGCUGCUUCCACAUCCUGUGAACCAAGUUGCAUUCUGCGCACAUCCAAAAAGAAGUGGUGACCUUGCUGUUCUAGAUGCCAAUAAUCAGAUUUCUAUCUAUAGAUCUGGUGGUACUACAGAAUUAGACCCCACAGUGAAAAUAGGAGCUGUGGGGGGGAAUGGAUUUAAGGUUUCUGUUACAACACCUCACCUGGAAAAAAUAUACAAAAUUCAGCUUGAGAAUAGAGAAGAUCAGGAAGCAAAUCCUCUGAACUUGUGCCUUCUGACUUGGAUCCAAGAAGGUACUUUCUUGACUGUCAGCCAUAGUCAGACUGACCCAAGCUCUGUUGUUCACCAGUUGACUGUGGCCUCUUCUGAAGCAGAGGACAAAAGUGGACAUCUGAAUAUCAGCUCAUCAAUCACUGUGGAUGGAGUUGUGAUCAGUCUGUGUUACAAUUCCAAAACCAAGUCAGUGGCACUACAGUUAGCUGAUGGACAGAUCCUUAAAUACCUUUGGGAAUCUUCAACUCCUGCUAUUGACACAUGGAAGAAUCGUAAUGGUUUUGCUGUCCAAUUUCCCUACCCGUGCACGCAGACUACACUGGCUGUGAUAGGUGGAGAAGAAUGUAUCCUGGGGCUGACAGACAGAUGUCGCUUUUUCAUUAAUGACAUUGAGGUUGCAUCAAAUAUCACAUCAUUUACUAUAUAUGAUGAAUUUUUGCUGCUGACAACCCACUCUCACACCUGCCAGUGUCUGUACUUGAAAGACACUUCUUUUAAAGCUUUCCAGGCAGGCCUAUCCAACAGUACUUCCUGUAAUGAGGAAACUCUAAGGAAAGUAGAAAGAGGCUCCCGCAUUGUCACUGUUGUGCCUCAGGACACAAAGCUCGUAUUACAGAUGCCGAGGGGAAACUUAGAAGUUGUCUAUCAUCGAGCUCUGGUUUUAGCUCAGAUUCGGAAGUGGUUAGACAGACUUAUGUUUAAAGAAGCAUUUGAAUGUAUGAGAAAACUGAGAAUUAAUCUAAAUCUAAUUCAUGACCAUAACCCACAGGCAUUUCUUGAAAAUGUGGAAACCUUUAUAAAGCAGAUUGAUUCUGUAAAUCAUAUCAACCUAUUUUUCACAGAAUUGAAGGAAGAAGACAUUACAAAGACUAUGUACCCUCCUCCAGUGGCCAACAAUAUCCAAAUGACUAGAGGCCCAGAUGGUAAAAAAGUAGACCUUAUCUGUGAUGCAAUGAGAAUAGCCAUGCAGAACAUAAAUCCUCACAAGUACUGCCUAUGUAUACUGACUUCUCACAUAAAAAAGACUAAACCAGAACUGGAAAUUGUCCUACAGAAGGUUCAUGAGCUUCAAGGAAAUACUUCAUCUAUUCCUGAGGCUGUGAGUGCUGAGGAAGCCUUAAAAUACUUACUGCUUUUGGUGGAUGUCAAUGAAUUGUAUGACCAUUCUUUAGGGACAUACGAUUUUGAUUUGGUGCUCAUGGUAGCUGAGAAGUCACAGAAGGAUCCCAAAGAAUAUCUUCCAUUUCUAAAUACACUUAGAAAGAUGGAAAUCAAUUAUCAGCGUUACACAAUAGAUAAGCACUUGAAACGGUAUGAGAAAGCCAUUGGCCACCUUAGCAAAUGUGGACCUGAGUAUUUUCCAGAAUGUUUAAACUUGAUAAAGGACAAAAAUUUGUAUAAUGAAGCUUUGAAAUUGUACCCAUCAAGUUCUGAACAGUAUAAGGAUAUCAGUAGCAUUUAUGGAGAACACCUGAAGCAAAAGAAUCUUUUUGAACAAGCAGGAUUGGUAUUUGCUCGCUCUGGUGCCUAUGAUAAAGCCUUGGAUGCUUUUGUGACCAGUGGCAGCUGGCAGCAAGCUUUCUGUAUGGCAGCUCAGCUGAACUAUACUAAAGACCAAUUAGCCAGCCUGGGUAGAACUCUGUCAGGGAAGCUAGCAGAGCAGAGGAAACACAAUGAUGCAGCCUUAGUUUUGGAGCAGUAUGCCCAGGAUUAUGAAGAAGCUGUACUAUUGCUGUUAGAAGGAGCUCUUUGGGAAGAAGCACUAAGACUGAUUUACAAGUACAACAGGCUUGACAUCAUAGAAACCAAUAUUAAACCCUCCAUUUUAGAAGCCCAAAAAAAUUAUAUGGUGUUUAUGGACUCUCAGAAAGCCAUUUUUACCCGCCAUAGAAAGCGUUUACUGGUGGUUCGAGAGUUAAAGGAACAAGCACAACAAGGGAAUCUAGAUGAUGAUAUGCCUAAUGGCCAGGAGUCAGACCUCUUCUCUGAAACCAGCAGUAUCAUGAGUGGUAGUGACAUGAGUGGAAAAUACUCUCAUAGUAAUUCCAGGAUAUCUGCGAGGUCCUCCAAGAAUCGUAGAAAAGCAGAAAGAAAGAAACACAGCCUGAAAGAGGGGAGUCCACUCGAAGAUCUUGCCCUUCUGGAAGCCCUAAGUGAAGUUGUGCACAGCAUUGAAAAAUUAAAAGAUGAGGUUUACCAGAUUUUAAAAGUCCUCUUUCUCUUUGAGUAUGAUGAACAUGCCAGAGAGUUACAGAAUAUGUUUGAAGAUACUUUGCAGCUAAUGGAAAGAUCACUCCCAGAAAUCUGGAACCCUUCCCAUCAGCAGAAUCCAGCUAUUCCUGUUCUGGGACCCAAUUCAACUGCAAACAGCAUCAUGGCCUCCUAUCGACAACAAAAGGCUUCACCUUCUGUACUCCAGGGUGCAGAACUUUUUAUACCUCCUAAGAUCAACAAAACUAUCCAGUGGAAACUGAACCUUCUAGAGUAAUUCUGAUGCCAUUUGGAGGGACUACACAAACCAAGGAGGGCUCUCAGGAAGUACAUUCAAGGCAGUAUCCCUGAAUAAGUCACACUACCAGGAUACAAGGCAAGAAUGAAAUGUUCCCUGCCCUCCAGCAGCCCACAUCCUGAAGACGACGCAUAGGUGACCACACAGACCGCUCUACCUGCAACCUCAGGGCACUUCCUCAGCCAUGAGAUGAUGUUUGGGAGCAGGUUGGUUGGGCAAUGAGAAAGGAUUUUCCCAAUGGCAAAGCAGACGUGGGUGCCUGGGUCAGUAUUAAGUUUUAGCCACCUGAGGGAUUGCUACUCUGCACAGGAAGGGAAGGUAAGAAGUUUGUACAAAUGGUGGGAGUAGGGCAGUGAUAUGAGAUCAGUGUGAUAGUAUUGGAGACAAGCAACCAAUUAUCAUAGGAAUAGAGAGAUGCCACCCAUUUUCUCACUCCAGUUGGCUUGUCAUAAACUUCCCCUCCCUCAUCAAUCCCUUUGAGGAUGGGGUGAGGGGGAUUGGAAAUCACUACUGUAGAUAACCCUGAAGAGUAGCAACUGUUCUGUGUGAUCCAUUUUCCCCAGGAGAACCUCAGCCUCAGAUAAGUAAGAGACAGAGCCAGAAGUUUUAUUCCACACAGGUCAAGAUAUGUUAGAAUCUGAGCUUGUCCUUUUAUUUUAGUUGAGGAGUGGGUAAGACAGAAAAGGGAAGAGUUACAAUUAAAUAGGGAUUCUAGGCCAGGGAUCAAAUGCAUAGAUGACUUGGCUCUAGAAAAACUCCACCUAGGCAAUGGUUACUCCCACAGAAGGCUUCACCACUCAGGAACUCCCCCAAACACUAAUAGACUUGGAUAAAAAAUAUAUAGAAGAAAGGCUAGAGCUCUUGGCCUUCUACUUCCACAAUAACACCAGUAUAAUUAUUGCUGUGCAUAUUCUCCCCCCAAAUGGGAGAAAGUGCCAUGAAGGCAAGGCCCAUGCCACCACAGCACUUGGCCAGUGUUCACGUAGGCUGUCAGAAUUUUCAAUCCAAAAAUCACCUUGUAAAUUCAACAAUAUAAUUUUUCAGAUAACAAAAUAGACCCUAGAGAGAAUAUAACUUGCCUGUGGCUUGAGGUAAGGCAGGAAUUGUGUCAUAAAAUUGAGGAUCACAGAUUUAGAAACAGAAGGGACAUUAGAAAUCAUCUACUGAGCCCCUCUCUCAUUUUCCAGAAGAGGGAAUUGAGACUCAGAGGCAUUGAGUUGACAUGUCCAAGGUUUUACAGAUAGAAAGUGGCAGAACUGAGAUUUGAACUGAAGCUUGACUCUAAGUUGUAUUACAAUUGUCUUUCCUAUGGUACCUUGCAUAUAUUUAGUAUAUCUUUAUGGAACAAAUGAAUGCAUAUUGUCUAGAGCUACAAGAUAAUUCAGAAACCAUCUAAUCCAAAUGAUUUUUCAGAUAAGGAAACUGAGACUCAUGAGAGUUUAAAUUGAUUUGCCUAAUAUUGACAGUGUAGACAAAGGAACUUUUCCCACCAUCAGAACUUUGUCUUGACUGGAGAAUUGAAAAUGAUUGGGAUUGUGACCAAUCAGGGUGUCAACUGCCCAACACAUAAGCAGUUCCUUAAGUGCUUUUUGACUGACCAUUUACUUCUUUGUAUAAUUGGCCCGCUCCUAUAAUCAUUCUGCCUGACGAAUAUAGCUUGCUAUAGCCCCAGUUUGGGAGGGUCUGAAAUAAUUCACACCUACAAUUUUAUAAGUUUGUACCCUAUUGACAGGCCAGUUUCUGAGAAUAAUUUCGUAUUUCUUUUGUAUGUAUGACCCUGGGUGGAAAUGUUUAGUGUGAAUCUGCAUUUCUCUAUGAAUGGCCUGGCAGGGGUCAGUGAACUUGUGGUCCAAGUUACUUCUACUUAAUGGCGGAUUUUCCUCGACCUGCACCUUGCUUAGGGUUUGCCUGCCCACUUCCAACAGAAUAUAUACAUAAAUGAUCAGCCUUCUUUGCUUUUUAUCUUGAACAUUUCUCCUUUGGGGUAAUUUUACCCCAAUUUUUGAGAAGAAAAAAAUCUCCCGAGGACUUCUGGUCAAGAUGGAAGCUUAGAGAAAGCUAAAGUUCGGAGCUCCAGAAACCCUUCCUUACCAAUCUCAAACGGAAUGCUCCUAGGGCAUCAAAAUUCAAAACAAACAGCAGAAUAGACCCUGGAAACACUCCUCCUGGACCUGGAUCAAAAGGUACGGCCCCCCAAGAGUUGGAGCCCGAGAUCACUCGGAUCUAAGGGGAUGGCAAAGGGAAGGUCCCAGGACCCAUCCCCCCCAACCCAGAGUGCUGAGUCCGAGGCAGCAGCAGGAACCUCAGGGCAGGCAGGGGGGCCUGUUCUGAGGGCCGCCCCCUGAAAACGACCUGAGCCAGUCGCGGGGGCACCCAGACAGCAGGGAAACAGAGAGAGACAGGAGGAGCCUGUAGCCCCCUGACCAGAACCUUCCAUCUGGGUCUCACUGAAAGUUGCUGCCUGGGGGCAUACUCAGUCUGAGGUUAAUCCUAUCACCAGCCCUCAGAACUCCCGGAAGCCGCGGCCCCUCCCCCCCUCAGAGUGCUGGCUCUUCCAUCUGGCUGAGGCACAGAAACAAGGGCCAAGCCAUAGAACGGACAAUCUGCCUAGGGCUAAAACCUCUGAACACCAGACAGAGAUAAGAAAAGCUAAUCCUCCCCACUCAGAUAGAGAUGGCAAACUCCACAGAAGCACAAAACCCCCAAAAUUCCAAAAAAAACAAGAAGAAGGGGGCGACUUUGGACACUUUAUGGAGCAAAAAUACAAAACACAGAGGAGAUAGAAGAGGAAACACAAGCAAAUGCUCCAAAACGUUCCAAAGGAAAUGGAAACUCUCCACAAACCCAUGAAGAAUAUGAAUCAGAAAUGAUCAAAAAGAUGGAAGCCUUCUGGGAGGAAAAAUGGGAAAUAAUGCAAAAGAAAUUCACGCAUCUACAAAACCAGUUUGACCAAACUGAAAAGGAAAACCAGGCUUUAAAGCAAGAACUAAUAAAGCAAAGCCAAAAGACCAAGAAAUUAGAAGAGAACAUAAAAUAUCUCACUGACAAGGUCAUAGACUUGGAAAAUAGAGGAAGAAGAGAUAAUUUAAGAAUAAUUGGACUUCCAGAAAAGCCAGAAAUAAACAGCAAACUCAACAUCGUAAUACAAGAUAUAAUCAAAGAAAAUUGCCCAGAGAUUCUAGAACAAGGGGGCAAUGUAGCCACUGACAGAGCUCACAGAACACCCUGUACACUAAACCCCCAAAAGACAACUCCCAGGAAUGUAAUUGCCAAAUUCCAAAGCUCUCAAACAAAAGAAAAAAUCCUACAAGAAGCCAGAAAAAGACAAUUUAGAUAUAAAGGAAUGCCAAUCAGGGUCACACAAGACCUUGCAAUUUAUACUCUGAAUGAUUGUAAGGCAUGGAACAUGAUCUUCAGAAAGGCAAGAGAGCUGGGUCUUCAACCAAGAAUUAGCUAUCCAGCAAAACUGACUAUAUACUUCCAAGGGAAAGUAUGGGCAUUCAACAAAAUAGAAGAUUUCCAAAUUUUUGCAAAGAAAAGACCAGAGCUCUGUGGAAAGUUCGACACCGAAAAACAAAGAGCAUGGAAUACCUGAAAAGGUAAAUUUAUGAAGGAAAGGGAAAAGGAGAAAAAUGUUAUCUUCUUCUUUUACUCAAACUCUCUUCUAUAAGGACUACAUUUAUAUCAAUCUAUGUAUACUAACGUGGGGAAAAUGUAAUGUGUAAAUAGGGGGAAAAUAAAGACCAAAUAGAAUAACCUUUCUCACACAAAGAUUCACAUGGGAAGGGGAGGGGAAGGAAACUCCUAUAAGAAGGAGAGGAAGAGAAUUUUUACUUAAACCUUAAUCUCAGGGAAAUCGACUCUGAGAGGGAAAAACAUCCAGAUCAUUGGGAUCUUGAAUUCUAUCUUACCCAACAAGGGUAGGGAGAAGGGAAAACCAAGGGGGGAGGGGGAGAG